rnacentral:rRNA from 1 species
CCUACGGGGCACAGCAGUGAGGAAUAUUGGUCAAUGGGCGCGAGCCUGAACCAGCCAAGUCGCGUGAGGGAAGACGGUCCUAUGGAUUGUAAACCUCUUUUGUCGGGGAGCAAAAGACGCCACGCGUGGCGUUCCGAGAGUACCCGAAGAAAAAGCAUCGGCUAACUCCGUGCCAGCAGCCGCGGUAAUACGGAGGAUGCGAGCGUUAUCCGGAUUUAUUGGGUUUAAAGGGUGCGCAGGCGGAAGAUCAAGUCAGCGGUAAAAUUGAGAGGCUCAACCUCUUCGAGCCGUUGAAACUGGUGUUCUUGAGUGAGUGAGAAGUAUGCGGAAUGCGUGGUGUAGCGGUGAAAUGCAUAGAUAUCACGCAGAACGCCGAUUGCGAAGGCAGCAUACCGGCGCUCAACUGACGCUCAUGCACGAAAGUGUGGGUAUCGAACAGGAUUAGAUACCCCUGUAGUC